CCUACGUGAGGCAGCAGUGAGGAAUAUUGGUCAAUGGGCGCGAGCCUGAACCAGCCAAGUAGCGUGAAGGCUGACUGCCCUACGGGUUGUAAACUUCUUUUAUACAGGAAUAAAGUGAGGCCCGUGUGCCUUUUUGUAUGUACUUUAUGACUAAGGAUCGGCUAACUCCGUGCCAGCAGCCGCGGUAAUACGGAGGAUCCGAGCGUUCUCCGGAUUUAUUGGGUUUCAAGGGAGCGUAGAUGGGUUGUUAAGUCAGUUGUGAAAGUUUGCGGCUCAACCGUAAAAUUGCAAUUGAUACUGGCAGCCUUGAGUACAGUUGAGGUAGGCGGAAUUCGUGGUGUAGCGGUGAAAUGCUUAGAUAGCACGAAGAACUCCGAUUGCGAAGGCAGCUUACUAAACUGCCACUGACAUUGAUGCUCGAAAGUGUGGGUAUCAAACAGGAGUAGAUACCCGAGUAGUC
rnacentral:rRNA from 1 species